GUGCACUUCCGAUCUGUUCAUGUACGUGCAGGUAGGAACGAGACAAUAGAAAUAACAGUCGCACGGGCAGACGGCCGACGCGGCAGCUGUAGCGCUCCGUUGCCUUCUACCAAGAAAUGCUGUACAGUAACCGAAAUAAUCUGAAUUUCGGCAUGAAAAUUUCAGGGAAUAUUCGGAAGAGUGUAUACUAUUCGAUAAAGCAAAAAAAAAAAAAUCGAUUUUUUGAAAAUUUCACACUGGAAAGCU
rnacentral:lncRNA from 1 species